UGUUUUACUAAAGUUUUGAUUUUUUAAUCCUAAUUGGUGUUAUUUUAAUAAAUUUUUAAUAUAAAUUUAAAAUUAAUUACAUAUAUAAAAAAAAGCCUUGGACUAGUCUCCGUUGUAAGAAGACUGGAGGUGACGAGAAGAAGACAAAACUGUCUUUGCACGUGAAUUUGACCAAUUGAUUAAGCUCCUUUAUUUUCUAAUUUUUAAUCUAAUUAAAAUGAUAAUUAAUUCAUGAAAUAUAAUUAAUUCUAAUACACGAAUUCGGUAAAAAAAAAUUCCAAACACACAUUAAUUAUCAUAUUCAUAACCUCCAGUUAACUUAACUCUUUAGUAAGACAAAGAGUGUUGACACUUUGAAAUAUACAAAUUAUUAUUUUCAAUACUUCCCCUUAAUUUUCAAAUUUUAUUUUUUCCCUUAUAUUAGCAUGUAGCUUUUGAAAAAGUUUCAAACUUGAGUGAUUUGGUGAAAAUAUUUGUAACUUGAUAUUGAGUUUUUACGCACUUGAGCUCAACUUUCUUUUUAAAAAUGCAAUCCCUUAUGAAAUAAUUCCUUAUAUCUAUGUGCUUGUUUUAUUCAUAAAAUACCGGGUUCUUAACUAAUACUUGCACCAAUUUAUUUUUAAUAGAAAUUUCAGCAGCUUCUCCUUGAGCUAAGUGAAGUUCAUUUAAACUCUUUAGUUUUGAGUCAAGACCUUUCUCUUUCUCCUCUAAGUUUCUCCACUUUCUUAUCCAAUUUUUGCUCUAGUUUGCAACCUUCUCCUCUGUGUGUUUUACUUCAACUUCUGUCUUCUCCACUUUAGUCACCUUGGUUUUUAGGUCCUUAGCCACAUAUUUUCUCCAUUGAUCAACUUUCAAUUCAAAUUCAUGCUUCUUCGCAUCCAUAACGGCAUUUAUGUUCAUCAAGUAGUUUUUGAGUUUCAACGUUUUCAAUAGUAUUUAACUUUUUCUCUAUUGUAAGCAAUUCUUUUCUAUGUUAUUUCUCAUAACAUCAUACUGUUCUUUUUAUUAGAAAUAAACUGAAAGAUAAAAAGUUGUUAUUAAUGUAAAAAUAUAAAAUUAAAGAUAAGUAGAAAAAUAUAUUAAAAAAAUAAAAUACAUUAAAUUCAAUCUGAAUGGGAUACUGUUACACAACAACACAUAGCCUAUAUAUAGGUAGCAAAAAUCGCCUAUUAAUUUUUCUCUAUGUAACCACACAUUCAUUUUAUUUAAUCGCUAUUUAAUUUUUACUAUUUAAUUUUGUUUUAAUAUUUUCAUAAUUACUAAUUUAUAAUUUUUAAUCGUAAUAGAUAAUUUAUAAUUUUUAUAAAUUAAUUCUUACAUAAUUUUGAAUCAUUUAUUCAACCCUCUCUCUUGAUUCAAAAUUGCAUACACUAAGUAACGAUUUAAAAUAGACAUGUUUCUGAUAUGGAAGUGCUACUUUUGUAAAUAUAUAUAUUACUCGUUCAAUCUUUUCCUUUAAUUUGAAUGUCUUUAUUAUCUUCAAACUUGAUUGUCG
rnacentral:lncRNA from 1 species